GGGUGUUCUCGGUCCAGGUGUAUGUCUUGGGGUUGGAGUAGCCAUGUCUGUAAUUUCCUCUGAAUCUUUUGAAGCAUCUGAAGUUUUUGCAAACCUGAAAGCUGUCAGGAAGUAUCGCUGGCUAGUUGCCCAGAGAACUAACUCUGAGAUGAAUGGAUUCUACUUCAGCCACUUCUUUGUAGAGAGAACAUUCUGGAAGCAUUUAGCCGGCCCGGUGCCCUGACUGUGAGAAGACUGGUCAGCCUGAAGCAGACCCUGGGAGCAGAUGUGCACUGAAGAGAGGCAGCACAGGAGGCAGGCCACUGAUGAUGCCAUCUCCUGUGAAGAACAGAUCCUUGCCCUUAAUGGAAAGUGAUGAAGACAUGACAGACUUUCCUCUGGGAAGACUGUGGGAUCAGAAUGAGCCAUUUUUGGAUAUAAAUGUCAGGGGCUUUGCCUGCAGCAGUUCAAGGAAGACAUAAUUACUGUGUGCUGCUUCCCUCCACUCCUUGCCCUGCACUGAAUCACCCACCUCCCUGGAAACAGAUCCACAAAGUUGGGGUGGGAGGAGGCGGCAGGGGCUGCACCUGCUCAGGAUUCUUUCCCACUCUCAGUGGAGUCUCUGACUUCUCGGAAUUCUGACCCUGAGAGCCCAGUGGGACUCCAGCAGGCAGAGGGAGACCAUCUACCACGGAUAUAGCUCCGGAAUUGAGGGCAAGGUAUGAACUAAACCUGGAGCCUUCUCUGUCAAAGGCAGGCUGAGUUUAGGCAUUCUGAGAUCAGUUCUGGGCUUUUCUGAACCUCAGCUGGGGGUCUCAGAACUGAAUCCUUAGGCACUGCCCCAUACUUUCCCUGGAAAUACAGAUGUGACACAGAUAUUUAUGCUUACCAGCUACCCGGGCCAGACAUAUUGGGUCUUUACUAAAUCCUUGUAACUUGGAAACUUCAAUAAUGAUUUUCUAGCAUACCUUCCACCUAAUCUCGAAUGGCAUUUAAAAGGCAGACUUAUUGAAGGACACUUGCUCAGACAAUUAUAUUUUUGUAUUUCAGAUUCUAUACAAACCGAACAUGGCUUCCGUAAGGGAACAUCUGUUCUAUACCUAGCAGUAUUAAAAUAUUCAGAAAAUUCAUCCCACUUUACAACUACAUAAUUUAAUUUGGUUCUUUUAAACAUUUAAAAUUACAGUGUAAAGGUUCACAAGGUUGAUGAGUUCCUUUUUCUGUGACUGAGUUGAAGAGCUAUUAUUAUUCUACGGUCACAGACGCUACCGUUCCCCAAUUUCAGCCUGAUAGACAUCCCGUGGGCCUAUUCAUCUUCAGCUGUAUUCAUCUGGCUUUGCUUCCUUAUUUCAACUACAUUUUUGAAAGUUCCUGUCUGAGCUUAUCCACUGUGCCUGUCCUUAUAACAUUAUUGGAGAGAUAAUAUUCAUUUAAUUCUCACCAUUCCAUCCUAACUACUUUUCUAUGAGGCUUCAGUCUCUACAGAAGUGAUAGCCUAGAGGCCUCUCUGUUCCUGAGGGUGAUGCUGAUAACAGUGAGAGUGAAUGUGCUCGUAAUAGAAUUUCCACACUUUUCUUUUUAAAAUGUCACAAGAAAUAUAUGUCCAUGAUGAAAAUGAGAAAACAUGAAUGCGAAAGAAAAAUUAAGAAUUUAUAUGUAUAAAUUUAUAAAUAUGUACAUGUAUAUUUGUAAACAUGGGAUACAUUUGAUCCCUUUUUAAUAUGUUCCUGCUUAACAUAACGUGAACAUGUUCCCUUAUUCUCAUGGCUGCCAAAUUUUGCUUGGUAUGGGUACAAUCAAAUUAAUUUAAUUAAGCCAAAACCGGUUUGGCUCAGUGGAUAGAGCGUUGGCCUGCGGACUGAAAGGUCCCGGGUUCGGUUCCGGUCAGGGGCAUGUACCUGG